AGAAAGCCCUGCGCAGAGGGAGAGCGGGCGGGAGGGGAGAGCCGAGCCAAGCCUAGCGGAGCCGAGCCUAGGGCGGCCGGAGAGGGGAGGGGAGGAGAGGGGAGGGCCGGGCCGGGCAGGGCAGGGCAGGGCAGGGCAGGGCAGGGCAGGGCAGGGCAGGAGGGCAGGGCAGGAGGGCGGGCUGGGGGGGGCGGCCCCGGGUCCCGCGGGGAGCGCGGAGCGGCGGGAUCCUCGCUGCGGGGCGGCUCUCGCCCCGGCUAUUUAAGAGCGGCGGCGGGGCGCACACCACACCCCCGCGGUGCCAGGCGCUGGCCCCGGCUGCCGCCUCCGCUGCCAGGCGGCCCCGCUCCGCUCCCCGCGGCGCUGCCCCAGGGCGGAGCGCAGCCGCCCCUCCGCGGGGAGGGCGCAGCCGCGACCCCCACGGGCGGCGUGGGGAGCGGCCGGGGCUCCCCGCGCAGCGCCCUCCCCCUCCAUACCGCCCUCCCCACGCUACCCUCGCUACACCGCCUUUCGCCGUGUCCCCUCCGUGCCGUCCUCACUUACACCCCCCUCACUACACCGCCCUCCCCGCACGGCCACCACCGCGCCCGCCCCACCCCGCCGCAGCGCCCUCCAUAUACCCCCGUCCCCGUAGGGCCGCCGCCCCGGCGCCCUCGCCGCGCCCGCAGGGGACGAGUCCCCCCCCGCGCCCCCCUGUCCCGCUGUUCCCGCCCGCAGGUGCCCGGUCGCCCGCCGGCCCCGGCGUCCGCCGCCGAGCCGCCCCCGCUCCUGGCCGGCCCGCGGAGCCCGGGCGGGCCGAGCCGCAGCAGGUCCUGGACAGACUGGAAAAGAUAAAACCAAAAAGGAAGCAAGACAAUAUCUACCUACUUCCUCUUCAGAAGUCAAGGGAUAUAUACUGGACAUGAAUGAAGAGGCAUGAAGGCAACAGCAGAUCAUAAGCAAUCUUUCUGCUGGUGGAAGACAACAUCUACAAUCAGGUAUGAGGGGUGCAACUCACGAGAUGCCCUUGAUUCAUGAGGAAUGCCGCGUCAGACUUUUGUGGAUUUUUAGCAUGCUGACAAAGCUGCAACAACAUGUGUGAUAAUCAACAGAGCUUUGUGCCUGAGCACUUCCAAAAGUUGUUGAAACACCUUAAAAUUUAGCCUUGGGAAAGGCUCCCCUAUGACAGACCAACACCAUAAUCUCACUAGUUUGGGCAAUGAAAGUGAGGCACAGAGACUCUGAUAAGCCCUCCUGCAGGCAGCUCUGUGGGAGAGCGUGCCCAGGGUUUUCCCAUGACAUUUCAACAGAUGAAGACAGAGUUAUAAUGGAAUUCCCUUCCUCUCACCCACAAAACAAGGAGUUACUAUUUUUUUCAGACCCAAUGGGAGCCAGUACCAUGUGUUCAGGGUCCCUAUGCCUCCACUGACUAAUGCCUCUGAUAUCUGUGGCUCCUAUGCUACCCUCUCAAAUGCAGAAACACUGAACUUACUCCCAAGAAAUCUGGAACAUGGAAAGCUGCAGAGAAGUUAACUUAGCAUGUUCCACCUUUGUGUUGAAACAAAUCCAGCUUGUGGCUGUUGGAAGAAGAGACAGUGCUGGCUUUGCAUUGUAGCACUGGAUGGGGUCCAAGGGGUUGCAGAGAGCACUACCGAGUUACGUGAUUCUUUCACACCCAUCCCAGAUGCAAGGAAGAUCAAAAUGAAUGAUCACUUCUGUAUUGACAAUGAACACAGGGAAGGAAAAUUAGUUGUUGGGGAAGUAUGUGUGUUCACAGAAAGUCAAGGGAAACUUUUCAAAUUCAAGUGUCACAUUCAGACAAUCCUAUUUCAGAUGUACUGAGAACCCUAAGUUCCUGAGAGAGUCACUAGGGACUACUUCAAUAAAUAGAAACUGACCUCUGAGUCCUGGUUUAGCGAAACCCAUGCCUAGAUAUCCAUGCUGUGAAACCCAGGCACAAGAUCAUUCUGAGGUACAAAAACUUGUUAGAAUCUUAAUAAAUUGGGCAUCAAUGAAUUCUUCCAUAGAUAUUCCACUACUGGAAAUCUAUAUGCCACCAAACCCUUUUGCAGUAACAUGGUACAGUACAGCACACUGACGGCUGACAGACCUAAAAGUCGGGGCGCACCCUACAAUGAUCAUCGUAAUUUGGGGAAUAGCAGGUAGGGAGCUCUAAACUACACUGCGACUCCUUUAGAUAUUAUGCAAACUUUAUGCUCCAAAAUUCAAGUAAACCAGUUUUUGAAGCAUCUCAUGACAAUGUUGUCAACCCAAACUUCCAUUCUACUUUUGAAAACUGAAAUCUGUGCCCAAAAUAUUGCAGCCACAGGUUCAGUCAACCAAUGUAUUCUUAUUGCUUUGAACUUGUUUCCCAGUUUCUGGAUUAUAUUUUGUUUUCCUUAACAACUUCAUCAUGUUUCCAGUGUUACUCGAGUCAAAUGAGACUGCCCAAAACCCACGUAUGCAGAAAAUCCUAGUUUCCAGGAAUGAUGAUGAUAAUCUGCAUUUAUGCCUUCCGCUGCAGCCUGCUGGAUUCCCAGUUCUUUCCUCAUCCUUAUUCUUUUCCCUGCCUGUCUUCCUUCUCCA